ensembl:misc_RNA Metazoa_SRP Metazoan signal recognition particle RNA
GCCGGGCGUGGUGGCUCACGCCUGUAAUCCUAGCACUUUGGGAGGCCGAGGCGGGUGGAUCACCUGAGGUCAGGAGUUCAAGACCAGCCUGGCCAACAUGGUGAAACCCCGUUUCAA